rnacentral:misc_RNA from 1 species
GGAAAAGGUUUGUUACAUGCUUUUGUAUUGUGUAAAUUACAUCCAAGUCCUUGAGGUUUGCCUAACUGCAAGUCAAGACACCAUUGUUGUAAAAUUACUAUCCAUUACUAACCACUGGGUCCAUUCAUAACAACUAAGUGAAGCAUGUUAAAAAGUUAUAAUAUUCCUAAAAUUUCCUUAGAAUCUAUUGGAUAAAACUAUAAUACAAGGGUUCAUUUUAU